rnacentral:hammerhead_ribozyme from 1 species
AUCCAGCUGACGAGUCCGAAAAUAGGAGAAAAUGCGUGUCCCGGAU